rnacentral:rRNA from 1 species
AUUGAACGCUGGCGGCAUGCCUUACACAUGCAAGUCGAACGGCAGCACGGGAGCAAUCCUGGUGGCGAGUGGCGAACGGGUGAGUAAAGUAUCGGAACGUGCCCAGUCGUGGGGGAUAACGUAGCGAAAGUUACGCUAAUACCGCAUACGAUCUAUGGAUGAAAGCGGGGGAUCGCAAGACCUCGCGCGAUUGGAGCGGCCGAUAUCAGAUUAGGUAGUUGGUGGGGUAAAGGCUCACCAAGCCGACGAUCUGUAGCUGGUCUGAGAGGACGACCAGCGACACUGGGACUGCGACACGGCCCAGACUCCUACGGGAGGCAGCAGUGGGGAAUUUUGGACAAUGGGCGAAAGCCUGAUCCAGCCAUGCCGCGUGCAGGAUGAAGGCCUUCGGGUUGUAAACUGCUUUUGUACGGAACGAAAAGAUUUGGCCUAAUAAGCUGAGCUCAUGACGGUACCGUAAGAAUAAGCACCGGCUAACUACGUGCCAGCCGCCGCCGUAA